UACGUAGGGGGCAAGCGCUGUCCGGAAUCAUUGGGCGUAAAGCGCGUGUAGGCGGCUUGGUAAGUCCGUUCUGAAAGCCCGGGGCUCAACCCCGGGAGGCGGAUGGAUACUGUCAAGCUUGAGUCCGGAAGAGGCGAGUGGAAUUCCCGGUGUAGCGGUGAAAUGCGCAGAUAUCGGGAGGAACACCAAUGGCGAAGGCAGCUCGCUGGGACGUGACUGACGCUGAGGCGCGAAAGCGUGGGGAGCAAACAGG
rnacentral:rRNA from 1 species